AUUGAACGCUGGCGGCAGGCUUAACACAUGCAAGUCGAGCGGAGAGAGGUAGCUUGCUACUGAUCUUAGCGGCGGACGGGUGAGUAAUGCUUAGGAAUCUGCCUAUUAGUGGGGGACAACAUUUCGAAAGGAAUGCUAAUACAGCAUACGUCCUACGGGAGAAAGCAGGGGAUAUUCGGACCUUGCGCUAAUAGAUGAGCCUAAGUCGGAUUAGCUAGUUGGUGGGGUAAAGGGCUACCAAGGCGACGAUCUGUAGCGGGUCUGAGAGGAUGAUCCGCCACACUGGGACUGAGACACGGCCCAGACUCCUACGGGAGGCAGCAGUGGGGAAUAUUGGACAAUGGGCGGAAGCCUGAUCCAGCCAUGCCGCGUGUGUGAAGAAGGCCUUAUGGUUGUAAAGCACUUUAAGCGAGGAGGAGGCUACUUUAGUUAAUACCUAGAGAUAGUGGACGUUACUCGCAGAAUAAGCACCGGCUAACUCUGUGCCAGCAGCCGCCGUAA
rnacentral:rRNA from 1 species